rnacentral:rRNA from 1 species
UACAGAGGGGGCAAGCGUUAUUCGGAAUUAUUGGGCGUAAAGGGCGCGUAGGCGGUUCUUCAAGUCUCUCGUGAAAUCCCUCGGCUUAACUGAGGACGUGCGGGAGAUACUGAAGGGCUUGAGUCCGGAAGAGGGUGGUGGAAUUCCCAGUGUAGCGGUGAAAUGCGCAGAUAUCAGGAGGAACACCGGUGGCGAAGGCGGGUCUCUGGGCCGAUACUGACGCUGAGGAGCGAAAGCGUGGGGAGCGAACAGG